GAUGAAGAACGCAGCGAAAUGCGAUAAGUAAUGUGAAUUGCAGAAUUCAGUGAAUCAUCGAAUCUUUGAACGCACAUUGCGCCCGUCGGCACUCCGGCGGGCAUGCCUGUCCGAGCGUCAUUUCAACCCUCAGGACCCCCUUCCGGGGGGGACCUGGCGCUGGGGAUCAGCGGCCUCCGGGCCCCUGUCCCCCAAAUGCAGUGGCGGUCGCGCCGCAGCCUCCCCUGCGUAGUAGCACACCUCGCACCGGAGAGCGGCUCGGCCACGCCGUGAAACCCCCAAUUUUUCAAGGUUGACCUCGGAUCAGGUAGGAAUACCCGCUGAACUUAAGCAUAUCAAUAAGCGGAGGA
rnacentral:misc_RNA from 1 species